rnacentral:lncRNA from 10 species
CCCAGCUCAUUUUAUUUAUUUUUUUGUAUUUUUAGUGGAGAUGGGGUUUCACCAUAUCAGCCAGGAUGGUCUCGAUCUCCUGACCUCAUGAUCCGCCCGCCUCGGCCUCCCAAAGAGCUGGGAUUACAGGCGUGAGCCACUGCGCCCAGCCGAAAAAAUGUUUUUUAAGAAUAAGGGAUUCUACUUGGAAAGGCGUGAGGGGUGAAUAUUAUAAUCUCCUGUGGUGCUUUAAAAAAACAGAAAGCCCAGGCUCCACCCAAGAGCAGAGUCAGAUGGGAAUCUCUGAGGUGUGACACAGCCAGCAGUAUUUUUAAAGGUCCCCAGGGAAGAAAAAAUUGCAGUGAAUGUAUGACUCUAGUUCUUAAGUGUUCACAGACUCUUCACCAGGAGCAGAUUUCAUCUCAAGAAAUGACUUUCUUUGCUCAUCCAUAAGAAGCAACUCAUCUGUUCAAGUUUUACCAGACACAAGAACACCAGAUUGAGACCAGCCUGGCCAACAUGUGAAACCUCCUCUCUACUAAAAAUACAAAAAUUAGCCAGGCAUGGUGGCAGGCACCUGUAAUCCCAGCUACUUGGGAGGCUGAGUCAGGAGAAUCGCGUGAACCCAGGAGGUGGAGGUGGAGGCUGCAGCGAGCUGAGAUCAUGUCACUGCACUCCAGACCGGGUGACAGAGCAAGACUCUGUCUCAAAAAAAAAAAGAAAAAAAAAAAAAAAAAAGAACACCAGAACUGGAAGAGAUCUCAACUUCACUCAACCCAGAGUCUAUUUUACAAACAAGAAAGUUACAUCUCUACUUUUUGCUUUUCUGCCCUUCUACCCAUUACACUGAUUGUUUCGAUCACUUGUUCUGACAGAUUUGGUAUUAAGUGAAUCAAUUUUAUUCCUCAAAGUGGUAGAAUCUGUGCCCAAUUAUUGGGAGAGACAAACUUUGCAGAGCAUAUUCCCUUUGUUCAGGUAAGUGGUGACAGGUUGAGUCAGCUCCAGGCUCAGAACUCACAUCUGCUGAGUUCCACUUAGGUUUUGUGGUAGCAAGAACACAAUUAUCUAGUCAAUUGCUCUGGAGGGAACAUCAUCUUGAAAACAUGACCAAAUUCACACCACUGUAAUUAAUCAGACAACUGCUCUAGUGUGAUCGUGGUUACCACUCCAUAGAAUUGGAAUUGUCUUUUUAAACCCGAGGAGACACUGCUCACUUUAAGGUUGAACUUUAUAGAAGCUGGUCCCACAUUUGGAUGCUAAUUAGCAAAAUAAUACCCACAAUGCAACCUGAUUAAACGUUUCACCCAUGGGUGGAAACGCAUUAAGUAAACAAUGCUGUAAAUAAAAUAAGAUUGUGUCAACAGAAUAUAUUUGUGUCAGUAUGAAAAAAUACUUAAAAUCCCUUAAAAAUAGCUCUUCAUAUUUUAAUGUCCUAGAAUUGUUAACUUUUAAAGAUGAAGAUUUUGGGGGAUUAUCAAGAUAGGACUAUAGAAAGAAUUUAUUUAAAAGAGCAAAAGGCAGUGUUGCACUGUGCAUUAAUUGCAUGUAAAGAUACACCAGGAACUUAGAAGGGUCUGGUUCCAAUUUGCAAAUGCUAGUACAGUACAUGUUUUCAUCCCUAAUCAUAUUACAUCAUCUUUGUGUGUUUGAGGGCACAGAUAAGACUUAUUCAAACUUCUAGUUGACAUGCAUUUUGCUUUUGAAAACCAAAGGUUCUCAUUUUCUAUUAGCUUUUGUGCUACUAGUUUCACAGCAUUUGAAGAUUCCUGAAUUUCUGUGCAUAUUGGUUUUUCCACUUAUCAAUAUUCAUAUACAGAAGCAAUUAUUACUGUGAAUCACCAUGAUAAUAAACCCGAUUUUACAGCACCAAAGUAAAGAGAAAUCUGUAUUUAAUCUCCAUUUGUCUGUACUGGAAUGAAGUAUUCUUAAAUCUGAGAAAGUCAAUUAUUAUUCAAAGAACAAUCACAGCAUAGUUAAAAAAUGAGAAAUCCAGGACAGCAGAAGGUGUAAAGAAGGCAUUUAUCAGACACCAAGGGAAAAGGGAAAGACGGUUGAUAGCUGAGGUGUCCAGUUAAAACUCAACUAGCAACACAAAUCUCUGGUAGGUAUCACUGAUAAAGGUCAAGGGGAACAGAGUUAUGACAGUGAACUUUAAAAAUACUGACAGGAAACAAGAGUACUGGUUUCCACGUGUGUUGCCUUGCUAUUCACAUAAAACCAUUAGUCCUUUCACAGAAGGGUUUAUUGAUUUACACAGAUACUCGUUUGUCACAUCCUGUAGAGUACAUUAAAAGCUGCCCAGGUAUUUCAAAUGUACUUAGCAAAUUUGCCUUCUCACUUGUGUGCAGUCUGGAAUCUUGGCUGUAAGAUAGUUUUCAGCAUAAAAGGCUUGAUUGAAGAGAAAGUCAGCAACUUAACAAAAGAAUCGCCGUGAGGCCUCUUUGUGAUGUCUUACCAAGAAGCUGCUCUCAUGGCUGGUGGACAUUGAUGGGGAAUUCAUCAUGUGAAGGGGACUUAACACAUUAGAUGCACAGGGAUUCACAAAGGAUGAACAACACAGUUUUCCUCUUGCUCAUCCCCAUAAUAUUACUGACUUCCUAUGUAGUUUGUCACUUCCGCCAGAUGUGACUGCCACAUGCCCAGUCCUGUGUCAUGUAGGAGGCAGUGCAGAGUAACUGAUAGGAGAGGUGGCUUUGGCAUCCACUUAUGUAGGUGUGAAUUCUGAUUCCACAGCUUAUCGACACCCUCACCCUGGGUCACUUGCCUCUUUACCAUUCAGUUUCCCAAUCUAUAAAAUGAGAGUAAAAACAGUACCUGGAUCACAGGUUGUUGUGAGGGUCACAUGGGAUAAUGCAUGGAGAGCACUGAAGAAGAUGCCUAGUCUAAAGUGAUGCCACCUUGUAGAGCU